AGAGCAUUGAGAGGACCUUUCCCUAGUACGAGAGGACCAAGAAGGACGCACCUCUGGUGUACCAGUUAUCGUGCCCACGGUAGACGCUAGGUAGCCAAGUGCAGAGCGGAUAACUACUGAAAGCAUAUAAGUAGGAAGCCCACCCCAAGAUGAGUGCUCU
rnacentral:ncRNA from 1 species